rnacentral:rRNA from 1 species
GACGAACGCUGGCGGCGUGCCUAAUACAUGCAAGUAGAACGCAGUUGCGAACGGGUGAGUAACGCGUAGGUAACUGCCUGGUAGCGGGGGAUAACUAUUGGAAACGAUAGCUAAUACCGCAUACUACCAGAUGGACCUGCGUUGUAUUAGCUAGUUGGUGGGGUAAAGGCGCACCAAGGCCACUAUACAUAGCCGACCCGGUGGUGUGAUCGGCCACACUGGGACGUGUAAACGGCCCAGACCCCUACGGUAGGCAGCAGUAGGGAAUCUUCGGCAAUGGGGGGAACCCUGACCGAGCAACGCCGCGUGAGUGAAGAAGGUGUUCGGAUCGUAAAGCUCUGUUGUUAAGGAAGCGGUACUUAACCAGAAAGGGACGGCUAACUACGUGCCAGCAGCCGCGGUAAUAC